GCGCACAGUGGUUUAGUGGUUAGCACGUUCGUCUCACAACUCCAGGGUCCGGGGUUCGAUACCUGCCGGGCCGUGUGUGCG